rnacentral:rRNA from 1 species
GUUGAACGCUGGCGGCAGGCCUAACACAUGCAAGUCGAACGAGUGGCGGACGGGUGAGUAAUGUCUGGGCAACUGCCUGAUGGAGGGGGAUAACUACUGGAACCGGUAGCUAAUACCGCUUACCAUCAGAUGGGCCCAGAUGGGAUUAGCUAGUUGGGGGGGUAACGGCUCACCAAGGCGACGAUCCCUAGCUGGUCUGAGAGGAUGACCAGCCACACUGGAACUGAGACACGGUCCAGACUCCUACGGGAGGCAGCAGUGGGGAAUAUUGCACAAUGGGCGCAAGCCUGACGCAGCCAUGCCGCGUGUAUGAAGAAGGCCUUCGGGUUGUAAAGUCCUUUUAGUGGGGAGGCGGUACCCGCAGAAGAAGCACCGGCUAACUACGUGCCAGCAGCCGCGGUAAUUC